ACAAUGGGUUCCUUCCUGGUUCCUCCUGGGGGAUUCCCCAGCAUUCCCAGGCCAGCCAGGAGAUAUAAUCCCUCCAGCAUGUCCUGGGUCAGCCUCGGGCC